rnacentral:piRNA from 1 species
CUUACUAGAUUCUGGAGCUGAUAAG